rnacentral:rRNA from 1 species
AUUGAACGCUGGCGGCAUGCCUUACACAUGCAAGUCGAUCGGCAGCACGGGUGCUUGCACCUGGUGGCGAGUGGCGAACGGGUGAGUAAUACAUCGGAACGUACCUUAUCUUGGGGGAUAACGGAGCGAAAGCUGUGCUAAUACUGCAUACGCCCUGAGGGGGAAAGCGGGGGACUGCAAGACCUCGCGCGACUAGAGAGGCCGGUGCCUGAUUCGCUUGUUGGUGGGGUAAAAGCCCACCAAGGCGACGAUCAGUAGCUGGUCUGAGAGGGCGAUCGGCCUCACUGGGAGUGAGACACGGCCCAGACUCCUACGGGAGGCAGCAGUGGGGAAUUUUGGACAAUGGGGGCAACCCUGAUCGAGCAAUGCCGCGUGGGUGAAGAAGGCCUUCGGGUUGUAAAGCUCUCUUGUCAGGUAAGAAACACCGGCUCUAACACAGUCCGGGAAUGACGGUACCUGAAGAAUUAGCACCGGCUGACUACGUGCCAGCCGCCGCCGUAA